CACCGGGAGUGUUUAAUCUAAAAGAAAGUUGGUGAUCGGAGAAGGAGAAAGGGCUAGAAUUUUAGUGAGAAGUUUGAAGGUUUAGAGAGAAGGAGGAGAAAAUGAGAAUUUUGGAGGUUGAAGACGAAGUGGGCAUGUAGAAAGUGGUGCCAAAUUUUGAAAAUCAACUUUAAAUAUGGCCACCAACUUGGUCGUUUGGUCCACUCG
rnacentral:lncRNA from 1 species